GCGGCGACCGGGAAGAGCUGGGUUCCGCGGCUGCAGGCUUGCCAGGCCCUGCCCCGUCCUCCCUGGGCUGCAUGCCACGGCAGGCCGCCCGGGUGCCCUGAGCCGGGACCUCGCCUGUGAAGGGGCCACCGUUGGCAGGUCAGGCAGAUGGAGAACAUGAUGUGUAAGGUGAAGUGACAGGGCCAAGGUGGCAGAGCAGAGCGGGGCCUGGAGCUGGGUCCUCUCUCCCGCAUCCAUCCCACGGCCUCUGCUCUGGCCACACGGAAGGGGGCUUCAGGGUCUGAGUCUGCAGGACCUAGUUUUGGCUGAGAUGUAUCCUCGGAGAAUGAACCCCUCCUGAAGUCGCAUGCAGCCGUCUGUUUCGUGAUCCUGUCUCUCCGGCUUCAGAGCCUCAGAUGAUGGUUUACUGUGCCUUGUCCACUUCCGAGAGCUGCACCCAGGCCGACCUUACCCACCAGAAGCGCUUGGUAAAUCCUGUGGAAGGAGUCGGUGGAUUCAACGCCAGGUUCACGAAGCUUGCCAUGGGUUAAAGAGGUGGGUGGGGAAGCCCAGCUGGGCGGUGGACCCUGAGGAUCUGCCAGGAAGACGUCCAGACACAGAAGGAGGAAGGCCUCCGUACUUCAUGUGAUCCGUCCCCCUGACAGCGGGGCGUUGCAGCUUCUGGAGUCCCAGACGCAGCUCAUCCUGAGGGCGCCUCGAGGAUCUUGGAGCCUGAUGCAGGACUCGAUCCCGGGACUCCAGGAUUACGACCCGAGCCAAAGGCAGUCGCCCAAACGGCGCUGCCCAGGAGCCCCUACAUGUAUCUUUCAACAUUGAUAUUCUCUGUAUAUCUAUCCCUGGAAUAUUGUCCUUUCUUCCUCCUUUUUUUCUGGUUUUAGACAUAAAAAAGUCUGUUACACACACACACACACACACACACACACACACCUACCACGUACUGAGGAACUUACUGAUCCAGGUUCCUGUACUUUGCAUAAUCACUGCUGAGGACUUUGCAGUAGGGAACAGAAUUUGGUACCUGGGCACGGAGAGCGAGCUACAGGUGUGGAAUUCCAGCAUCUCAUCAUGUUAGAGAACUGGGCUAAAGCGAUGAUACGCGGAGUGAGGUUGCGGACCUCUCCUGGUCUGCCAACUGUUUACAGGUCUGUGACCAGAAAGUAUACACGUUGGAAAUACAUGUUUAGGAACUUCUUUAGGAAUUUGACAUUUUAAUGACAUCCGAGAGUAGAUCCUGUGGACUUGUCAUCUGUUUUACAAAACGCACUGGGAAGAGGCCCAAAGCCUGGUCCUUCACUGCGCAUGGCUUGGGAAAGACUGGAAGGAGGAACUCACCUAAAGCUUUUGGGCAUGCCAUGAGCCACACCUAGAAACCCAAGACAACAACUGGAAAAUUGCCAUACAAUGGAUGCAUAUUUAAAAAAACAAUCAGUAAUAUUCCUAUAUACAAGUAGCAGCUCCUCAGAAAGUACAAUGGAAGAAAAGAUUGCUUUUACUGUGCAAAAUAAAGGAGGACACCCAGGGAUAAACUCAAAAAAAUGUGCAAAAUCUGUAUGAUUUCCUCUCUCUCAGAACUAGAAGACACCAAAAAUUUUCUUGAUAAAAUCAAGGUUACGAAGGACCCCGACUCACUUCAGAGUAGGCCUAGAGGACAUCCAAGCGAGCCGCGGUGCGGUUCUGGGAGCUCAUGGCUUCUUGCAGAGACGUACGAACACACGCACGUCUGUCUCCUCGGACCUGCCUAUUCUAGAUACUUCUGUAAAUGGAGUCAUACAGUAGUCUUUGUGUCUGGCUGGCUCCUUUCGCUGAACAUCACGUUUUCAGGGCUCAUCCAUGUUCUGGCUUGAGUCAACACGUCAUUCCUCUUUGUAGCCGAAUAGUAUUCCAUUGUAUGGAUAGACCACAUUUUGCUUAAUGUGCGUCUGCUGAUGAACACUAGGGCUGUGUCUUCCUUUUGGCUCUUAAGAAUAACACUGCUGUGAACAUGUACCUACAAGUAUUUGAGGCCCUGUGUGCAAUUCUUCCGAGUAUAUAGCUGGGACUGCCAACUGCUGGGUCACACGGAAAUUCCAUUUCAACUUUCCGAGAAACUGCCAGGGUGUUUUGCACAGCGGCCACACCUUUCUACAUUUCCAACAGCAAUGUACGGAGGGUUCCAGCUUCUGGACAUCCUCGCUAGCACUUGCUAGUUUCCAUUUUAAAAAAUAUCCAUCCUUGUAGGUGCGAGGUGGAGUCUCACUGUAUUUUGAUUUGCAUUUCCCUAAUGAUUAAUGAUGUUGAGUAUCUUCUCAUGUGCUGGUUGGUCACCUAUAUGUCUUCCUUGGAGAAA